rnacentral:rRNA from 1 species
UACGUAGGGGGCAAGCGUUGUCCGGAUUUAUUGGGCGUAAAGAGCGUGUAGGCGGCCAGGUAGGUCAGCUGUGAAAACUCGAGGCUCAACCUCGAGACGUCGGUUGAAACCACCUGGCUAGAGUCCGGAAGAGGAGAGUGGAAUUCCUGGUGUAGCGGUGAAAUGCGCAGAUAUCAGGAGGAACACCGGUGGCGAAGGCGGGUCUCUGGGCCAUAACUGACGCUGAGAAGCGAAAGCAUGGGGAGCGAACAGG